CACGUAGGGAGCAAGCGUUGUCCGGAUUUAUUGGGCGUAAAGAGCUCGUAGGCGGCUCAGUAAGUCAGGUGUGAAACCUCCAGGCUCAACCUGGAGACGCCACCUGAUACUGCUGUGGCUAGAGUCCGGUAGGGGAGCGUGGAAUUCCUGGUGUAGCGGUGAAAUGCGCAGAUAUCAGGAGGAACACCAGCGGCGAAGGCGGCGCUCUGGGCCGGAACUGACGCUGAGGAGCGAAAGCGUGGGGAGCAAACGGG
rnacentral:rRNA from 1 species